GACGAACGCUGGCGGCGUGCUUAACACAUGCAAGUCGAACGGAAAGGCCCCUUUGGGGGUACUCGAGUGGCGAACGGGUGAGUAACACGUGAGUAACCUGCCCUUGACUUCGGGAUAACUUCAGGAAACUGGGGCUAGUACCGGAUAGGAAUCCUUGCUGCAUGGUGGGGGUUGGAAAGCUUCGGCGGUUUUGGAUGGACUCGCGGCUUAUCAGCUUGUUGGUGGGGUAGUGGCUUACCAAGGCUUUGACGGGUAGCCGGCCUGAGAGGGCGACCGGCCACAUUGGGACUGAGAUACGGCCCAGACUCCUACGGGAGGCAGCAGUGGGGAAUAUUGCACAAUGGGCGGAAGCCUGAUGCAGCAACGCCGCGUGCGGGAUGACGGCCUUCGGGUUGUAAACCGCUUUCAGCAGGGGCGAAGCUUUUGUGACGGUACCUGCAGAAGAAGCACCGGCUAACUACGUG
rnacentral:rRNA from 1 species